rnacentral:rRNA from 1 species
GAUGAACGCUAGCUACAGGCUUAACACAUGCAAGUCGAGGGGUUUGCUUCGGCAAACGACCGGCGCACGGGUGAGUAACGCGUAUCCAACCUGCCUCUCUCAUUGGGAUAGCCCUCCGAAAGGAGGAUUAAUACCGAAUAACAUAAUGUGUUUGCAUGAAUUCAUUAUGAAAGCUCCGGCGGAGAGAGAUGGGGAUGCGUUUCAUUAGGUAGUAGGCGGGGUAACGGCCCACCUAGCCGACGAUGAAUAGGGGUUCUGAGAGGAAGGUCCCCCACACUGGAACUGAGACACGGUCCAGACUCCUACGGGAGGCAGCAGUGAGGAAUAUUGGUCAAUGGGCGCAAGCCUGAACCAGCCAAGUAGCGUGAAGGAUGACUGCCCUAUGGGUUGUAAACUUCUUUUAUAUGGGAACAAAUGUUGGUACGUGUACUAAUUUGCGUGUACCAUAUGAAUAAGCAUCGGCUAACUCCGUG